AUUGAACGCUGGCGGCAUGCCUUACACAUGCAAGUCGAACGGCAGCGCGGGCUCCGGCCUGGCGGCGAGUGGCGAACGGGCGAGUAAUGCAUCGGAACGUGCCCAGCAGUGGGGGAUAGCCCGGCGAAAGCCGGAUUAAUACCGCAUACGACCUGAGGGUGAAAGCGGGGGACCGAAAGGCCUCGCGCUAUUGGAGCGGCCGAUGUCGGAUUAGCUAGUUGGUGGGGUAAAGGCUUACCAAGGCGACGAUCCGUAGCUGGUCUGAGAGGACGACCAGCCACACUGGAACUGAGACACUGCCCAGACUCCUACGGGAGGCAGCAGUGGGGAAUUUUGGACAAUGGGCGCAAGCCUGAUCCAGCCAUGCCGCGUGCGUGAAGAAGGCCUUCGGGUUGUAAACCGCUUUUGUUCGGGAAGAAAACCUCUGGGCUAAUACCCCGGGGUGAUGACGGUACCGGAAGAAUAAGCACCGGCUAACUACGUG
rnacentral:rRNA from 1 species